UGCCAGAAGUGAGUUGCAAUGUCAUAGGUC
rnacentral:piRNA from 1 species